GAUGAACGCUGGCGGCGUGCCUAAUACAUGCAAGUCGAGCGAACAGACGAGGAGCUUGCUCCUCUGACGUUAGCGGCGGACGGGUGAGUAACACGUGGAUAACCUACCUUUAAGACUGGGAUAACUUCGGGAAACCGGAGCUAAUACCGGAUAAUAUAUUGAACCGCAUGGUUCAAUAGUGAAAGACGGUUUUGCUGUCACUUAUAGAUGGAUCCGCGCCGCAUUGGCUAGUUGGUAAGGUAACGGCUUACCAAGGCAACGAUGCGUAGCCGACCUGAGAGGGUGAUCGGCCACACUGGAACUGAGACACGGUCCAGACUCCUACGGGAGGCAGCAGUAGGGAAUCUUCCGCAAUGGGCGAAAGCUUGACGGAGCAACGCCGCGUGAGUGAUGAAGGUCUUCGGAUCGUAAAACUCUGUUAUUAGGGAAGAACAAAUGUGUAAGUAACUAUGCACGUCUUGACGGUACCUAAUCAGAAAGCCACGGCUAACUACGUG
rnacentral:rRNA from 1 species